GCGGUUUCCAUGGCUGCGGGUCCAGACUUUCUCCGCGUCUCCGUCCGAAGCCGCUUCUGCGAUGUGGGGUUCGCGGGAAGCGCCGGGUGGCGGCGGAGAAGGAGUGGGAAUCCUAGAGGGAGCAAGACCGGGGAAGCCCCAGCCGCUUACGUUAUUUCAUGACCGCGAACGUCCCUGUCAUGAAAAUAAGGCGUGAAACCCCCAAGCAGAAUUUGAUAAAAAUGGCUUUUAGGAACAGCUAAACUUCCAGAAGGAUGCUUCUAUCCUUUUCAUCAAAGUGUUUGGCCUGUCUCGUGGGUCUAAAUGCAAGUCGAAAAGCUGCCUUUUCCCCGCCUCGUGGACGACUGAUAGGUUUUCUUUUACUGUAUUUCUCGUUUUCCAGAGUCAGUUCCCAAAUGUCAGCGAAGCCCUCACCAUGCGCAAGAGUCUGCAAAAAGGCACACGUCAUUCUAGACCUCUGAAGCAUCCAAACUUGAAUCUUGUAUAUUCAGGAAAAUCGUUCAGGAUAGUUUAAAUACAUUUGUGCCUUUUAUAAGCACAGUAGUCCAAGGCAUUCUCUGUAGCACAUAAGUAUGAAAACAAGAGAGAAAACGUAAAUUCCUUUUGAGAAGCUCAAUGACAGAAUUGAAUUAGCUAAAGAAACCCACUUCAACAUAUUUACAGGAAAGGGAACUACACUUGAAGGGAGGACUAAGUGAGAAACACAGUGCAAGUUGCCCUAAUGGUGUGCAUUUAAUCACCAAAGUCACUUAAACAUCAAGUCGUGAAAAGCUUUGAGUAGACUCUGCAGUUUUGGACUUCCCUUGGAGAGGGAAGUCCCCGUGACCUCCCUAUUGUGUUUGCGAUGAUUCAAGAGAUAGAAAGCCGUCCUAUUGACAUCUGAAGCAGGAUAUCUGCAGAUUGAUAGGGUCACCAUGAGUCCAGAAGCUGAUCCUUACUCCCAAGGUCAUUCUAAAUUCCCACACUAUUCACACGGGAAAAUAAAGAGAAAGCACAAACUUUGGAAUCUAAAGAUCAGAAUUUCAGGGUCAGCAUGCCCCAGCUUGGCUAUAAAAUCUCAAAGGAGGAGAAAUUGAGCGAUGCACGUACAUCAAAU